AUACGUAGGGUGCGAGCGUUGUCCGGAAUUACUGGGCGUAAAGAGCUCGUAGGUGGUUUGUCGCGUCGUCUGUGAAAUUCCGGGGCUUAACUCCGGGCGUGCAGGCGAUACGGGCAUAACUUGAGUACUGUAGGGGAGACUGGAAUUCCAGGUGUAGCGGUGAAAUGCGCAGAUAUCAGGAGGAACACCGGUGGCGAAGGCGGGUCUCUGGGCAGUAACUGACGCUGAGGAGCGAAAGCAUGGGUAGCGAACAGGAUUAGAUACCCUGGUAGUCCAUGCCGUAAACGGUGGGCGCUAGGUGUAGGGGUCUUCCACGACUUCUGUGCCGUAGCUAACGCAUUAAGCGCCCCGCCUUGGGAGUACGGCCGCAAGGCUAAAACUCAAAUGAAUUGACGGGG
rnacentral:rRNA from 1 species